CAAUAGGCGCCAAAAUUCGUGAACACUCACGUCUCCGUGAUUCAAGGCAAUCGGUUGCUAUAUAAGUUCUGGCCGCUCGUUAAAUGGCUGCCUCUCUUUGUGAAAGAGAAAAAAAAAAAAGAACAGCCUCUCUCCUUCCUUUCCAUGUUUUCCGAGGCUCUCUUCGAUUUCAGGAAGGACGAGCUCUGCGAUCCCAAGCUACGUCGAUCUCUGGGAGAGAUCGACGUCUCGUACUAUGCUACGAUCGGUUCUGGGAUCUUGUGAGGGAUUUGGAGCUCGAUUCCGAUCUAUAGAUCCGUGGUUCUUCCUGCUACGGAGCUAGAAAUCUAGGGUUUCCAUGCUCCGAGCCCUCCCUGGUUGUCGGAUAUUUGGGAAAGGGUGCUGAUUCUCCAGUCUCGAGGGAAGCUAGGGUUUGAAUCGGAUGCAGUGGGUUCCGAAGAUCUAGGGUUUGUUUUUGUUUCUCUUGAGACGGAGGUUCGGGUUUUCUUGGGUAUUUUCCUCUUUUCAGGGUUUGUAUUUCGAUUUGAAGUGGACAGGAGGUCUAGAUCUUUCUUUCAUUUCUUGUCCUUUCCUCAUUUUGUUGUUCUUGAUCUCGUGCGAGAGAUAAAGAAUGGUUGAGAUGGAUGUGGAAGGGGACGUAGCAUCCCUUGGCCUUGGACUAAUGCAUCUCCUGAACCAAGAACACUUGAUGAAAAUCUUUACCUUGCCAAAUAGCUCUCUUCACAGUUGCUCUUGCUUCAAGAAACGUCAAAAAAAUCGGUGGAUGAUUUUGGCCCUUCCCAAAAUGGAGCUCGAGAUGGAGAUGAGCAAUGUUUUGAUUUUCUAAUAGGUUUUAUAUUUGACAUAUUGUUUUCUGUUUUGUCUUUACAGAUCUUUUCUUCUUGGGAAUAUGGCUUUAUAAAUCCUUUUCAUUGUGUAGAUAAUAUUGUGUAUACCCUCUCUCUCCCUAACCUCCCCCCCCCCCCCCCCCCCGCGUUCCCCCAACUCUAUCAUCUUUCUCUUGUUUGUAACUUCAUGAUUCAUUCCUAGCUUGUAUUUAUGUAUAAUUGGUUUUCUUUCUUUUA